rnacentral:rRNA from 1 species
UACGUAGGGUGCGAGCGUUAUCCGGAAUUAUUGGGCGUAAAGCGUCCGCAGGUGGCUGUUCAAGUCUGCUGUCAAAGCGCAGAGCUUAACUCUGUACAGGCGGUGGAAACUGAAGAGCUAGAGUAUGGUAGGGGUAGAGGGAAUUCCCGGUGUAGCGGUGAAAUGCGUAGAUAUCGGGAAGAACACCAGUGGCGAAAGCGCUCUACUGGGCCAUAACUGACACUGAGGGACGAAAGCUAGGGGGGCGAAAGGG